rnacentral:lncRNA from 12 species
AAGAAAUACAGCCUAGGUCAGCUUUGUUUUGUCUGUAUGCUCAUCUUAUUUGGUUUCCAUUCUCUCACACUCCUCCUUCCCAGAUAGCUCAAGGUCUAGAAUGGCAGAGAAAACUGAAUAUAUGAGGUCAUGGGCUAAAAAGCUUCCAUGAUUUAGUUCUUUUGUUAAAGGCUGCAUAGAAGAGAAGAAGCAGCUAACUUCCAAAACAGGGAAAUGUAAGGAAGCAUGUGUCAAAUACUUUGAGAAAAAACAUUAUGGUGCAUCUUGCCAAAGGCAUAAUGUUUUAGAACAGUAGAAAGUGUUGCCUCUCUGUGUUGAGGAUGAAGAGCUCCAGAGAUCUGACACAGUUCCGUAUGUCUUCC